AGAAUCAACGCUGGCGGCGUGCCUAACACAUGCAAGUCGAACGAGAAAGUGGAGCAAUCCAUGAGUAAAGUGGCGCACGGGUGAGUAACACGUGACUAACCUACCCUUGAGUGGGGAAUAACUGAGGGAAACCUUAGCUAAUACCGCAUAAUACCUACGGGUCAAAGGAGCAAUUCGCUUAAGGAGGGGUCGCGGCAGAUUAGCUAGUUGGCGGGUAAUGGCCCACCAAGGCAGUGAUCUGUA
rnacentral:rRNA from 1 species